UUAUGACAUAUUGUAGUAUAUGUUUAAAGAAUCUGAUAUUUAUGUUUUGUAUAUAUAUUUUUUUACUUCAAAAAAUCUUCUAUACACCUACAAAGAUUCCUGUAAUGAUCAGUUGGAUAAGGUUCCAUGUGAUGAUUGUCUUGAGAAUCCACCUUCAUCUUGUGCACCGCAUGCAUUUAAUGAGUUGAUGGAUUGCAAGGAGGAAGGAGAGUCGGGAUGUCACUCUUAGUUACCAUAUAGGGCCACCACCGACGGACCAAAGAAACUUAUUCCUAGCUUAUAGAAGAAAUGAUUUAUAGCAACAAGAGAAGCAUAGG
rnacentral:lncRNA from 1 species